rnacentral:ncRNA from 2 species
GUGACGAUUAAGGGGAGCGCGAUCACUGCUGAGAGGAAGACGAACUUCGACCCUAGAACCUGAUGCGGAUAAUGCCGCCGUAGGAACAGUAAGUAUACUUAGU